rnacentral:rRNA from 1 species
GACGGCUGAGUAACGCGUAGGAAUUUACCCCAAAGUCGUGAAUAACCUCUCGAAAGGGAGGAUAAUACACGAUGGUCCUAGACUUGUUCUAGGUAAAGAUUUAUCGCUUUGGGAUAAGCCUGCGUCUUAUCAGGUAGUUGGUGAGGUAAAGGCUCACCAAGCCUACGACGAGUAGCUGGUCUGAGAGGAUGUCCAGCCAGAAUGGGACUGCGAUACGGCCCAUACUCC